rnacentral:rRNA from 1 species
AUUGAACGCUGGCGGCAGGCCUAACACAUGCAAGUCGAGCGGUAGAGAGGUGCUUGCACCUCUUGAGAGCGGCGGACGGGUGAGUAAUGCCUAGGAAUCUGCCUGGUAGUGGGGGAUAACGCUCGGAAACGGACGCUAAUACCGCAUACGUCCUACGGGAGAAAGCAGGGGACCUUCGGGCCUUGCGCUAUCAGAUGAGCCUAGGUCGGAUUAGCUAGUUGGUGAGGUAAUGGCUCACCAAGGCGACGAUCCGUAACUGGUCUGAGAGGAUGAUCAGUCACAAUGGAACUGAGACACGGUCCAGACUCCUACGGGAGGCAGCAGUGGGGAAUAUUGGACAAUGGGCGAAAGCCUGAUCCAGCCAUGCCGCGUGUGUGAAGAAGGUCUUCGGAUUGUAAAGCACUUUAAGUUGGGAGGAAGGGUCGUUACCUAAUACGUGACGAUUUUGACGUUACCGACAGAAUAAGCACCGGCUAACUCUGUGCCAGCCGCCGCAGUAAUAC